UAUUGAUUAUUUAUUAUAAUGUUUUUCACUAGGGAAAUGUAUUCCAAAUUCCAAUGGAAGAUACCAGAAACAAAGCUGCUCCCCUCUCUGGGUAGCAGCUCCUCCAGCACUGGCACUGGGGGGCCAGGGCUCAGCUGAAAGAGACAUUGGGAUUUUAUUUAUUUAUUUAUUUGUCAGAGAGACAGCACAAGCAGGAGGAACAGCAGGGAGAGGGAGAAGCAGGCUCCUUGCUGAACAUGGAGCCGGACGGGGCACUGGAUCCCAGGAAUCCGGCAUCACAACCUGAGCUGAAGGCAGACACUUAACCGACUGAGCCACCUAGGUGCCCCCCAAAUUUUUACUUUUAUAAGCAUAUUUGCUUAUAAAUCUGUGUAUAUUUCCCUUAGGUUGAGACCUGUACUGAUGAGCUAAAUAUGACCACAUUGAAAACUUUGUUAUUAUUUCUAAGUUAUUGUCAAGAAUGAUUGAAACAUUAACCAAAUUUAGGUUCUAACAGGCAAUAUAUGAUGUUACUUGCCUUCCGUGUACUGAAAAUUAACAUAAAAACAAACCCUUUGCUAACUUAAUGGUCAGAAUAAACCCAAAUUGUUU
rnacentral:lncRNA from 1 species